rnacentral:ncRNA from 2 species
CACUUCCACCGGGGGUGUCCGUCACAGGACUGAGAAAUACCCCAUGUACCUGAUCUGGGUUAUGCCAGCGUAGGAAGUGUGAGAAGCCUGUCCC